rnacentral:rRNA from 1 species
GAUGAACGCUGGCGGCGUGCCUAAUACAUGCAAGUCGAACGCUUCACUUCGGUGAAGAGUGGCGCACGGGUGAGUAAUACAUAAGUAACCUGGCAUCUACAGGGUGAUAACUGAUGGAAACGUCAGCUAAGACCGCAUAGGUGUAGAGAUCGCAUGAACUCUAUAUGAAAAGUGCUACGGGACUGGUAGAUGAUGGACUUAUGGCGCAUUAGCUUGUUGGUAGGGUAACGGCCUACCAAGGCGACGAUGCGUAGCCGACCUGAGAGGGUGACCGGCCACACUGGGACUGAGACACGGCCCAGACUCCUACGGGAGGCAGCAGUAGGGAAUUUUCGGCAAUGGGGGAAACCCUGACCGAGCAACGCCGCGUGAAGGAAGAAGUAAUUCGUUAUGUAAACUUCUGUCAUAGAGGAAGAACGGUGGAUAUAGGGAAUGAUAUCCAAGUGACGGUACUCUAUAAGAAAGCCACGGCUAACUACGUG